AUUGGAUACAAGUUCACAAUCCUGCAGAAUUUUUAAAUAAAAACCAUUCAGAGAAAGCUGUGAAUUCACAGAAGAGCAAAAUAUAACAAAUGCUAGUGCUUAGCAUAAACUGGAAUCAAUGUUCAAAAAAGAAAUAAAUGAAAUACAAGCUUGCACUCAAAUCAUGACCAUUUGACCAUGCAGUAUUAACCAUAAAAGCUUACAUGUUCAUUCAGUUGAAGCUUCACAAUCUUAAAAUAAAACAUUUGAUUUUUCUAAUAAUAUUAAGAACUUAACAAUGAAAGAAACACCACCAGUAUAAGGCCUAUGGUACCACCAUUUACAUGAAAAAAAAAUCUACAAAACACCAGCCCAAUGUGACUCCAUGUCUAUCAAAUGUGACAAAAACUUGGCAAAAAAAAUCCAAAAUAAACAAUAAAAGAAAUGAAUACCGAAAAUCCUUACUUACCCAGUUUUUCAAGGCCCAAAUGCAGUUAAUAAGCUUCCUUUUUAGAAAGUGUAUAUCAUCAAUUAAAAAAUAUUGGGAAUCUUACAUUAAAAGAAUAUAAAGUUAAAGGGCAAAUUAUAUAAGUCGUUGAAUUACAAUAUUAAAUUUACUAGUCAUUUUGAUGUGUAAACCAUAGUUAUCAAAGGCUCAA
rnacentral:misc_RNA from 1 species